rnacentral:rRNA from 1 species
UACGGAGGGUGCGAGCGUUGUUCGGAAUCACUGGGCGUAAAGGGCGUGUAGGCGGUCCGCUAAGUCUGAUGUGAAAGCCCGGGGCUCACCCCCGGAAGGGCAUUGGAAACUGACGGACUCGAGUCCCGAAGAGGAGGGUGGAAUUCCUGGUGUAGCGGUGAAAUGCGUAGAUAUCAGGAGGAACACCGGUGGCGAAGGCGGCCCUCUGGACGGUGACUGACGCUGAGACGCGAAAGCGUGGGGAGCAAACAGG